CGUCGUGACCUCGGAGAUGAGGGGCUUCACGACUCGCCUUGCCGCCCUGGGAUACCGCUCCCCGCCCGAGACCCCGACGUCUGGCCUCCCAGCCCCCGGGUGGGCUACGGCUGACCGUCCCCCUCCCCUCCGCACAGGAAGUGUCCGUCCGCGGCCAGUUUCCCCCGCUGGCUAGCGCCGCGGCCUCUCUAGGAGCGGCUGGAGGUGGAAACUCGUUGGCAUUAACCCUGGGCUGGAUGGCCCCGGCGUCGAGGUAGGCGAGGACGGGGUGCCCUGGAGCCGGCGGGAGAAGCUGGGGCAGUUUGUGUGCCUAUGUCCCAGGUCCUGUCCGCCCAGGGGCCUAUAUGUCCGUCUCCCGGCCCUGCCUCCGUCAGUGCCUGUGGCCAAGGGCGAGGCAACAAGCGAGACCAAGGUUCCAGGUGCCGAAGUGGCCAGUCGGGGAGGAUCCUGCCGCAGAAAGAAGAGAAAGGAAAGGAGGAAACUGCUUAGGAGGAAAGAUGGCAUCUUCCAUUCUCCUGAAAAGAGAUGAGAACAAGAAUUUGGAGAAUUCCAAAUGAGAAAAGGCUGGAGAGACGCGAUCUCAGUUCUCAGUAGAGGCUUACAGACAGAAUCACAGAUAGAUACCUUCCUACAAAUAAAGCAGGAGUCCUUUGCCCUCCAGAGGAUCAGCUUCCAGCUCCAUGCCUCUCUCCCAUCCCACUCUGUCCUAAAACCUUCGUGAAGAAUGGCUCACAGGGUCCAGCACUAGAGGGCCCACACAGGCAGAACAACCUACAAGUGCGGUGAUUAUGGGAAGAGCUGGACCUGGACCACCUCCUGGUCAUCCCCAAAGCACACAAAU
rnacentral:lncRNA from 1 species